rnacentral:rRNA from 1 species
UUGCCAGACUCCUACGGGAGGCAGCAGUGGGGAAUAUUGCACAAUGGGGGGAACCCUGAUGCAGCGACGCCGCGUGAGGGAAGAAGGUUUUUGGAUUGUAAACCUCUGUCCUUGGUAAAGAAGCAAGACGGUAGCCAAGGAGGAAGCCACGGCUAACUACGUGCCAGCAGCCGCGGUAAUACGUAGGUGGCAAGCGUUGUCCGGAAUUACUGGGUGUAAAGGGAGCGUAGGCGGUUAUGCAAGUUGAAUGUGAAAUCUAUCGGCUCAACUGAUAGGCUGCGUUCAAAACUGUAUAUCUUGAGUGAAGUAGAGGCAGGCGGAAUUCCUAGUGUAGCGGUGAAAUGCGUAAAUAUUAGGAGGAACACCAGUGGCGAAGGCGGCCUGCUGGGCUUUAACUGACGCUGAGGCUCGAAAGCGUGGGUAGCAAACAGGAUUAGAUACCCGAGUA